ACGCUGGCGGCGUGCCUAAUACAUGCAAGUAGAACGCUGAAGGAGGAGCUUGCUUCUCCGGAUGAGUUGCGAACGGGUGAGUAACGCGUAGGUAACCUGCCUGGUAGCGGGGGAUAACUAUUGGAAACGAUAGCUAAUACCGCAUAAGAGUAGAUGUUGCAUGACAUUUGCUUAAAAGGUGCAAUUGCAUCACUACCAGAUGGACCUGCGUUGUAUUAGCUAGUUGGUGGGGUAACGGCUCACCAAGGCGACGAUACAUAGCCGACCUGAGAGGGUGAUCGGCCACACUGGGACUGAGACACGGCCCAGACUCCUACGGGAGGCAGCAGUAGGGAAUCUUCGGCAAUGGACGGAAGUCUGACCGAGCAACGCCGCGUGAGUGAAGAAGGUUUUCGGAUCAUAAAGCUCUGUUGUAAGAGAAGAACGAGUGUGAGAGUGGAAAGUUCACACUGUGACGGUAUCUUACCAGAAAGGGACGGCUAACUACGUGCCAGCAGCCGCGGUAAUACGUAGGUCCCGAGCGUUGUCCGGAUUUAUUGGGCGUAAAGCGAGCGCAGGCGGUUAGAUAAGUCUGAAGUUAAAGGCUGUGGCUUAACCAUAGUACGCUUUGGAAACUGUUUAACUUGAGUGCAAGAGGGGAGAGUGGAAUUCCAUGUGUAGCGGUGAAAUGCGUAGAUAUAUGGAGGAACACCGGUGGCGAAAGCGGCUCUCUGGCUUGUAACUGACGCUGAGGCUCGAAAGCGUGGGGAGCAAACAGGAUUGGAUACCCUGGUAGUCCACGCCGUAAACGAUGAGUGCUAGGUGUUAGACCCUUUCCGGGGUUUAGUGCCGCAGCUAACGCAUUAAGCACUCCGCCUGGGGAGUACGACCGCAAGGUUGAAACUCAAAGGAAUUGACGGGGGCCC
rnacentral:rRNA from 1 species